UACGUAGGGUGCAAGCGUUGUCCGGAAUUAUUGGGCGUAAAGAGCUCGUAGGCGGUCUGUCGCGUCUGCUGUGAAAACCUGGGGCUUAACUCCGGGCCUGCAGUGGGUACGGGCAGACUAGAGUGCGGUAGGGGAGACUGGAAUUCCUGGUGUAGCGGUGAAAUGCGCAGAUAUCAGGAGGAACACCGGUGGCGAAGGCGGGUCUCUGGACAGUUCCUGACACUGAGACACGAAGGCCAGGGGAGCAAACGGG
rnacentral:rRNA from 1 species